rnacentral:tRNA from 1 species
GUCCAGGGAAGGGAAUCGAACCCACUGUGUUCCGCUUACCGGGCAGAUGCCAUGUCCACUAGGCUACCCUGGA